rnacentral:rRNA from 1 species
AGAGUUUGAUCAUGGCUCAGGAUGAACGCUAGCGGCAGGCCUAACACAUGCAAGUCGAGGGAGAAACGGUUAUGAAUGAUUCUUCGGAUGAGUGAUUAACUAGAAACCGGCGCACGGGUGCGUAACGCGUAGGUAACUUACCUUAUACACAAGGAUAGCCAUUGGAAACGAUGAUUAAUACCUGAUGACACUGAAUUACCACAUGGUGAUUUGGUCAAAGAUUUAUCGGUAUAAGAUGGACCUGCGUCUGAUUAGUUAGUUGGUGAGGUAACGGCUCACCAAGACUACGAUCAGUAGGGGACCUGAGAGGGUGAUCCCCCACACUGGAACUGAGACACGGUCCAGACUCCUACGGGAGGCAGCAGUGAGGAAUAUUGCACAAUGGACGCAAGUCUGAUGCAGCAAUGCCGCGUGAACGAUGACGGCCUUUGGGUCGUAAAGUUCUUUUCUUAGGGAAGAAAAUUGACGGUACUUAAAGAAUAAGCACCGGCUAACUCCGGUUGAACCUCCCUUGCCAGAAGGAGGCUACGUAACGUAGUAACUUUUUGUAAGGUAUAGAAAGUUAUAGAGGUCGUUAGGAGGGACUUACUUAAUGAGUGAAUAAUGUACAAGAAAGCGGGUCGACUGGUCCGUUUUGUACAACGAAUACGCGAGGAACCUUACCAAAUCUUAAAUGCCUAAUGCCCAUCACUUAAUCGUGAUUUCCCUUCGGGGCAAUAGUGCAAGGUGGUGCAUGGUUGUCGUCAGCUCGUGCCGUGAGGUGUCAGGUUAAGUCCUAUAACGAGCGCAACCCUUAUCUUUAGUUGCCAUCAGUAAUGCUGGGGCCUCUAGAGAGACUGCCGGUGCAAACCGAGAGGAAGGUGGGGAUGACGUCAAAUCAUCACGCCCCUUACGAUUUGGGCUACACACGUGCUACAAUGGUCGGUACAACGGGCAGCCACAGGGUAACCUGGAGCGAAUCCUAUAAAGCCGAUCUCAGUUCGGAUCGUGGUCUGCAACUCGACCACGUGAAGUUGGAGUUGCUAGUAAUCGUGAAUCAGAAUGUCCCGGUGAAUGCGUUCCCGGGUCUUGUACACACCGCCCGUCAAGCCAUGGAAGUUGGGGGCACCUGAAGCCAGUAUCCACCGUAAGGAGGAAACUGUCUAGGGUGAAUUCAAUGACUAGGGCUAAGUCGUAACAAGGUA